GGAAAGGCCUCUUUCGAGGCCACGCAACCUACUCAAAGUCUUCUACU
rfam:Pirellula sp. SH-Sr6A, complete genome.